AUUGAGUGCUAAGAGAAAGAAUAAACAAAAAAAUUCUUUUUUAAUUUUAAAAAUUGAAUUUAUUUUUAUUUGUGCAGAAACAAUAAUUAAAAUUAAGGACAAGAAGACCCUAAGAAUUUUAUAUUAAUUAUUUAAUAUAAAUAAUAUAUAUUUAUAAUUAAUUUAAUUGGGGCGAUUAAUAAAUAUAAUUAACUUUAUUUAAAUAAAAAAGAUCCAUUAAUAAUGAUCAUAUGAAAAAUACUCUAGGGAUAACAGCGUAAUAAUUUUUGAUAGUUCUUAUAGACAAAAUAGUUUGCGACCUCGAUGUUGGAUUAGGAUUCUUAUUUAAUGAAGAAGUUAAAAUAAGAAGUUUGUUCAACUUUUAAAUUCCUACUUGAUC
rnacentral:rRNA from 1 species